GACGAACCGUGCGAACGUUAUUCGGAAUCACUGGGCUUAAAGCGCGUGUAGGCGGGUGGGCGCGUCGGCCGCUGAAAUCCCCCGGCUCAACCGGGGAAGGGGCGCCGAGACGGCCGGCCUGGAGGGACGUAGGGGGGCUGGAACUUCCGGUGGAGCGGUGAAAUGCGUUGAGAUCGGAAGGAACGCCCGUGGCGAAAGCGAGCCCCUGGACGUCUACUGACGCUGAGACGCGAAAGCCAGGGGAGCGAACGGG
rnacentral:rRNA from 1 species